rnacentral:rRNA from 1 species
GUGGGGAAUCUUAGACAAUGGGGGAAACCCUGAUCUAGCCAUGCCGCGUGAUCGAUGAAGGCCUUAGGGUUGUAAAGAUCUUUCAGGUGGGAAGAUAAUGACUGUACCACCAGAAGAAGCCCCGGCUAACUCCGUGCCAGCAGCCGCGGUAAUACGGAGGGGGCUAGCGUUGUUCGGAAUUACUGGGCGUAAAGCGCACGUAGGCGGAUUGGAAAGUUUGGGGUGAAAUCCCGGGGCUCAACCCCGGAACUGCCUUCAAAACUCCCAGUCUUGAGUUCGAGAGAGGUGAGUGGAAUUCCGAGUGUAGAGGUGAAAUUCGUAGAUAUUCGGAGGAACACCAGUGGCGAAGGCGGCUCACUGGCUCGAUACUGACGCUGAGGUGCGAAAGCGUGGGGAGCAAACAGGAUUAGAAACCCGUGUAGUCC